rnacentral:misc_RNA from 1 species
AACGCACAUUGCGCCCCUUGGUAUUCCGGGGGGCAUGCCCGUUCGAGCGUCAUUACACCACUCAAGCCUGGCUUGGCCUUGGGCGGCGGGGUCGUCCCCGCGCCCCCAUGUUCGUCGGCUGGACGGUCGGAAUCUCAGCGUUGUGAAUCAACCCGCUCAUGAGGACGACCGGACCGCGCCGUAAAACCCCCUCUUCUUCAGGUUGACCUCGGAUCGGGUAGGGAUACCCGCUGAACUUAA